UACGUAGGGGGCAAGCGUUGUCCGGAUUUAUUGGGCGUAAAGAGCGUGUAGGCGGCCUGACAGGUCUGCUGUGAAAACUCGAGGCUCAACCUCGAGAUGUCGGCGGAAACCGUCUGGCUAGAGUCCGGAAGAGGAGAGUGGAAUUCCUGGUGUAGCGGUGAAAUGCGCAGAUAUCGGGAGGAACACCAGUAGCGAAGGCGGCACUCUGGGCCGGUACUGACGCUGAGGAGCGAAAGCGUGGGGAGCGAACAGG
rnacentral:rRNA from 1 species